rnacentral:rRNA from 1 species
GUACACACCGCCCGUCGCUGCUACCGAUUGGAUGAUCCGGUGAAAUCCUCGGACUGGAGUAAUUGUCUAGCAGCAAUGUUAGAUGUUGUUUUGGGAAGUUGAUUAAACCUUAUCAUCUAGAGGAAGCAAAAGUCGUAACAAGGUUUCCGUAGGUGAACCUGCAGAAGGAUCA